rnacentral:rRNA from 1 species
GCUACGGGUGGCAGCAGUGGGGAAUAUUGCACAAUGGGCGCAAGCCUGAUGCAGCCAUGCCGCGUGUGUGAAGAAGGCCUUCGGGUUGUAAAGCACUUUCAGCGGGGAGGAAGGCGUUAAGGUUAAUAACCUUGGCGAUUGACGUUACCCGCAGAAGAAGCACCGGCUAACUCCGUGCCAGCAGCCGCGGUAAUACGGAGGGUGCAAGCGUUAAUCGGAAUUACUGGGCGUAAAGCGCACGCAGGCGGUCUGUCAAGUCGGAUGUGAAAUCCCCGGGCUCAACCUGGGAACUGCAUUCGAAACUGGCAGGCUAGAGUCUUGUAGAGGGGGGUAGAAUUCCAGGUGUAGCGGUGAAAUGCGUAGAGAUCUGGAGGAAUACCGGUGGCGAAGGCGGCCCCCUGGACAAAGACUGACACUCAGGUGCGAAAGCGUGGGGAGCAAACAGGAUUAGAUACCCGAGUAGUC